rnacentral:rRNA from 1 species
AUGAGUAAGCUCCAAAGUGACGCUGUUAAGGAUGCCAUCACCCAGAUUGUUGGGGAGGCGAGAGAAAAGAAGCGCAAGUUCACUGAGACUGUGGAGCUUCAGAUCGGUCUCAAAAACUACGACCCACAAAAGGACAAACGUUUCAGCGGCUCAGUGAAGCUGCCCCAUAUCCCCCGCCCAAAGAUGAGGGUGUGCAUGCUUGGUGAUGCCCAGCAUGUCGACCAGGCUGAGAAAAUGGGACUUGACUACAUGGAUGUUGAAAGUCUCAAGAAGAUGAACAAGAACAAGAAGCUUGUUAAGAAGCUAGCCAAGAAGUACCAUGCUUUCUUGGCAUCAGAGGCCAUAAUCAAGCAGAUCCCUCGUCUCCUUGGCCCUGGUCUUAACAAGGCAGGCAAGUUUCCCACUCUGGUUAGUCACCAGGAAUCUCUUGAAGCCAAGGUCAACGAGACAAAAGCUACAGUCAAGUUCCAGCUAAAGAAGGUUCUUUGCAUGGGUGUUGCUGUGGGCAACUUGUCGAUGGACGAGAAGCAGAUCCAACAAAACAUCCAAAUGAGUGUCAACUUCCUUGUGUCCCUCCUGAAGAAGAAUUGGCAGAAUGUGAGGUGCCUGUACGUGAAGAGCACCAUGGGGAAGCGUGUACGGGUGUUCUAA